rnacentral:lncRNA from 1 species
GAGUGAUUGAUAUCCCUUGAAAAAGCUUCCAUUUUCCCAUUUGACCUCCGUCUUUCCCGUCAAAUCUAACUUCUAUCAGGUACUCUCCUUACCAUUAGCUUUUCCAUUUAUUCAGAAUGUCCUUUAUUGUAUCCAUUAUGAGCGAUAGCCCUGUAUAUUUGUCUAGCAACUAUGGGAGUGAUGAAUCCUCCAUAGUUAGGUUGGGAGUAUCUUUUGGUUCGAACACUUCUCACUUCUCACGUAAUCACUAACCAUUCAACCCACGAAGUCAUGCAUAUAAUCG